GACGAACGCUGGCGGCGUGCUUAACACAUGCAAGUCGAACGGAAAGGCUCUGCUUUUGUGGGGUGCUCGAGUGGCGAACGGGUGAGUAACACGUGAGUAACCUGCCCUUGACUUUGGGAUAACUUCAGGAAACUGGGGCUAAUACCGGAUAGGAGCUCCUGCUGCAUGGUGGGGGUUGGAAAGUUUCGGCGGUUGGGGAUGGACUCGCGGCUUAUCAGCUUGUUGGUGAGGUAGUGGCUUACCAAGGCUUUGACGGGUAGCCGGCCUGAGAGGGUGACCGGCCACAUUGGGACUGAGAUACGGCCCAGACUCCUACGGGAGGCAGCAGUGGGGAAUAUUGCACAAUGGGCGGAAGCCUGAUGCAGCAACGCCGCGUGCGGGAUGACGGCCUUCGGGUUGUAAACCGCUUUCGCCUGUGACGAAGCGUGAGUGACGGUAAUGGGUAAAGAAGCACCGGCUAACUACGUG
rnacentral:rRNA from 1 species